UGGAACAUCGUUGCCAAUUUAGUGGAGCAUGACACAUACGGCGAUGCCUUUACAAACUGUUUCCAUGAAUUCUAGCCGUUAUAAUAAUGCAAGAAUGAUGAAAUUGAUCUAAUAUUUAUGUAUAUGAAUAAGAAAAAGAUACGACAAAUUCACUUAUUUCCACGGUUUUGUGUAAGUCUUAUGAUCACCAGUUUAGAGGGAAAACACAUAACAAUUGUCAACAGUGCAUGAGGUGCACCCGCUAUACUCUGUUUUUUUUUUCCAUCUGUCCGUCCGCCUGUGGUGUAUGCGCAUGGUAACACUGCGUCCAGGGCUUUAAAUGAUAUCCUAUUUCGAAUAUUAAUGGUGUAAUUUGCAUAAAGUAAUUUAUUAAAACUUUUCCAGUUGCAAAUUUAAACCCAGAUAUCUUUUUAUUUACCUAAAACUUACACAUAGCGUAACUAUUUAAAAAGCCCGGGACGCAGUGUUACCAUGCGAAAACACCACAGGCAGAUGGACAGAUGGAAAAAAACAGAGUAUAAGUAUACGUAGUCACAUUCGGUUUCGGAAACGUCGCCACUCAUUAGUCCAGUAGCUAGUUUCUCAUGCACUUCCAUUGGUUAUUUAAUCGGAUAUUGGUCUGUUGAGUGUUCUGCUGGUGUUCUUCAUGCUACAUGGUCUUUGAGGACAAGGCAAUACAGGAAUGGUACAGUUGCAGCAAGCAUUGCUCUCAGCCAGAAAUAACAGCAGGAUGUGACUAUCUUAGUGGAAUACAGUAAUACAUCACCUCCUAGCUGUGUAUUUUCCAUCCUCAGUGGCAGUGGCAUUACAACUGCUGUACCACUAGUGACCUGUCCUAGGGAGAAGGUUUGUUAUGCCAUGACAGGUAGGUUAAAAGACCCCCGGCACAUUUAAUCAUCAUAAGAGGAUUGGGCUUGAGAUGAAUUUGACCUUCAUUCUGCUCCUAGUUAAAGAAGCCAGUAAAAGUUUCUUGAAUGUUGGAAACAUCUAUAACUGAAGGUCAUUUAGAAAUUAUGACCAAAAAAUAAUGUUUUUGGACAGUAUUUUAUGGAUGGUCAGCACUCUUAAAAGGGAAAGUAGUGGGAUUCCAGUGAUGUAUGAGGAUCUUAAUCUUGCUAGCUGCAGAAUUUCAUUUUAUUGAGGUUGUUUUCCUCUUCUUGUUGCCCUUGCAAUCCAGUAUAUGACUAAGGUACCAGUUGACUUCUCAGGCUUAAAACUGCUCGGACAGGCAUUUUCAAUUCUCCAUUAUUUUCAUGUUCUGCCCAGCCAUCAUACUUCUCUGUUAUUUUCCAGUUGUGAAAUAUUGCCUUAUUUCUACCUUAGUGUGUUCUCUUCAUUUAUAGUUUUUUGAUGACUCCAUUAACAUGUUCUCCAGUCUUUACCUAGGAUGAUCGUACAAUUUUACCAUGUUAUAAAUAAAAGUUCUUGUUAGCUGUGACAUUACGUUUUCCAUUGAUUCAUCUUGAAAUCAAUAUCCUCCAGUUCAUAUUAACUCAGGCUUUACCCUACAGCAAAAUUCUGAGGCAUAGCUAUUAUUUUUUAAAUAUAUUUCCCAUGCUAUGCUGCUGGUUGUGAGGUCAUUUAGCUUAAAUAAUUGCACCUGAUUUGAUAUCAGCCAAAACUAUUCUUUGGAUCACUUCAUUUGGAGUUACAAAAUCUAAAGGUUUGAACAUUUCUAUGAAUAAUUUUCUCCUUUCACACUUUCUGUUUUUCCUCAUUCACUUCACAUUAGAUUUUAAUCUAAACAUUUUCUUUCAUCGUGUAUUAAUCCAAGUAAAAAUUCUAAAACCUACAUUGAAGACUUCAAAUGGAGUUUCAUAAUUUUAUA